CUGGCCUCAAGUGAUCCUCCUGCCUUGGACUCUCAAAUUAUUUCAAUUACAUUUCUGAAGUGAAGGACAGAUGAAAAGUAACGCAACCAGUUAGUUUCUCAAGAUUACAGGAAUCCUUUGCAGUAAAGUGCAUAUUGCUUCUUUUGGGGUUAUAUUCAAUGAGUCAUGACAUAUUUUUCUCCUUAAGAAGUAUCUUCAUCGCUUAUAAAGGUAUGAUGAGAACAUUGUUUCUAAACACUGGGGCACCUGCAGCCAUCAAAAGAGAGUUUGUUUUGGAAGACAUUGAAAGGAAAGAACAGGUGGAAAAUAAAUGAAGGAUGAACAAAAAUAAUCGAUGCUUGUUGCUGAACAUAGGAAUAAUUAAAACAGCAAACAUGGAUACUUUAACCAACUUGAAAAUCAAACAACUAUGUGAAACAAAUGGUUCCAGACAUUGGACAACAGGAAGUGCAGGAAUCAGAACCCAAAGAGAGGGAAACCAGGUGGUUCCUGGGACCAAUCUUCAUGGAUAUCAAGGGAUGAAUUUAAUUUAUAAACAGAAACAAACAAAAAGCAGACAGCUACUUGCUUGGGAAAUGGAACUUCUACACAAUGUAAAUGACUUCUUCAGGUCUACUUAAACAAAAGUAAUGUGAAACAAAUAAAACAGAGCAGCCCUUUUGGUAAUAUCUUGGAUUUUACCAGAGAAACAUUCAAUCAAUACAAAUAUAUUGGGAGAUUAUCCAGUUGGGCUUCAUAUUAUCAGGUGAGUCCUUAACAAGACUGAUCCCGUUCUGUAGUUAAGGCAUUGAAAGUUGCGAGGGCCUGUGCAGGAGUCCACAUGACUAGGAACCCUGGGCAGCCUGUAGGAAGUGAAAGUGGUCCCUCCCUGUCCAACAGCCAGGAGGAGAACAAUGGCCUUAAACAAUCGUAAGAAAUUUAGUUCUAAAAACCAGAUGAGUUUGAAAGAGGACACUAAGCUCCAGAAAAGAAUGAAGCCAAGGUGACACCUUGAUUUUAGCUUUGUGAAAUUCUGAGUGAAAAACUCAACUCAACUCAGCCAUACCUGGACUUCUAACCUAUAUGAGUUGUACAGUAAUAAAUGGCAUUGUUUUAAGUAA